rnacentral:rRNA from 1 species
UGGGGAAUCUUGGACAAUGGGCGCAAGCCUGAUCCAGCCAUGCCGCGUGGAUGAUGAAGGCCUUAGGGUUGUAAAAUCCUUUCGCCGAGGACGAUAAUGACGGUACUCGGAGAAGAAGCUCCGGCUAACUUCGUGCCAGCAGCCGCGGUAAUACGAAGGGGGCUAGCGUUGUUCGGAUUUACUGGGCGUAAAGCGCGCGUAGGUGGCUUGAUAAGCCGGUUGUGAAAGCCCCGGGCUCAACCUGGGAACGGCAUCCGGAACUGUCAAGCUAGAGUGCAGGAGAGGAAGGUAGAAUUCCCGGUGUAGCGGUGAAAUGCGUAGAGAUCGGGAGGAAUACCAGUGGCGAAGGCGGCCUUCUGGACUGACACUGACACUGAGGUGCGAAAGCGUGGGUAGCAAACAGGAUUAGAUACCCCGGUAGUCCCUGAGCGGGCUGGCAAGGCGCAU